UAUACAAAUCAAAUCGGAUAGUACGCACGACACAUACGUCACUAAUCCGCCAAACAAAUCGAAUCAAAUCAAAUACUGGGUCGACCCAUACGUAUCCUGAACAAAUAUAUCAAAUGGCCAAAGCUCAUACCCAGAGCAUACAAAAGGAUACGCCGUGGACUAAUCACACCGCCACGGAAGGUGUCAUGCCCUUGUGUCAAGAGGACAUGCCUGUGGUACCCCCACAGGUGGUUAGCUCAAGUAUACCCUAAGGAUCAAACUACAAAAUGUAAGCCAAAAGGGGUUCAAAUCACAAGGCUUACAUGACCAUAUUCAAAUGAAAUUGAAUUAUCAAAUACAAACAUACCCAAUUAUUACAAGAUAUCAAUGAUCAAAACAACUCCGAGUGUGAACGAAAAUAUACGAACAAUGGUACAAACGAAUAAAGUCUCCAAAACAUAUUUACACGAUUAACUAGUUCAAAGAGUACAAAUACGAAUUCAAAUAUCAACGCCAAAACGAAACCAACUCAAUAAUUUUGACAACAAAGAAUAAUCCCAAGAGGCAAUACCAAAUUUCUAAACGAGUACAAAAUGAACGAAUUAAAUUUAAAGGAAUAUUGCUGAAAAAGUACGGAAUCCGUACCUUAAUAUAGUAUCGAAAUAAUUCGCCGAAGCUAAAUAUCGCCCGCUAAACUCCCUCAAUCCGAUCUAAUUAUCAAAAUAAAAU
rnacentral:lncRNA from 1 species